UACGAAGGGUGCAAGCGUUAAUCGGAAUUACUGGGCGUAAAGGGUGCGUAGGCGGUUGUUUAAGUCUGUCGUGAAAUCCCCGGGCUCAACCUGGGAAUGGCGAUGGAUACUGGGCAGCUAGAGUGUGUCAGAGGAUGGUGGAAUUCCCGGUGUAGCGGUGAAAUGCGUAGAGAUCGGGAGGAACAUCAGUGGCGAAGGCGGCCAUCUGGGACAACACUGACGCUGAAGCACGAAAGCUAGGGGAGCAAACGGG
rnacentral:rRNA from 1 species